rnacentral:lncRNA from 1 species
ACCAAUCAAAAAAGAGUUAUAGCAUUUAUAACUCUCCAAAUCAUGGAGUAUGGUUGGAGUUGAAUUUUUUUAGAGAGCUCCUAAAAUAAUUUUCUUAUAUUUUUAGCUAAAUUUUAACAAUAGAGAGCAUCAUUGUAGUUGUGGAUGCUCUAAAGCAAGGAGAUGUUUGCCGAUACUAUUGUUAUGUGCUGGCAAAGAUAGCAACCAUCCAUCAGUGCAACUACCUACAAGUUGCAAGUCUAGAGUGAAAUUGGUACUUAGGUGACGAGGGGUAAAUUUAAAGGAUAUUCAAUCAAGAACACAACAACCUUCACACACUCUAGACCUUGGCCAAAUACUCUUAUGACUAGUCAACUGUUAGAUAUGAAUUAUAUCAAACAAUAACAUACACA